rnacentral:lncRNA from 1 species
AAGAGAAGUUGCCGAUCCAAUUUCUUCGGGUAUUUUAAUAAUCAAGUUAAACGACAGAUCUAAAGAUUUAAGCAUAGGAAGCCUGCCAAAAAUUAUUCAAUGGAAUCACAAAAACAGAAAAUGCUGAAGAACGAAAGCGAAACACUCAAUCUCCAGACAAAAGCAAAUAGGGAGUGGGGUGGAAAGAAAAAUGGUGACGGAACUGACUCUCCAAUAGCAGAGGGGAGCUCGUGGA